rnacentral:rRNA from 3 species
UGCAAGUCGAACGAUGAACCACUUCGGUGGGGAUUAGUGGCGAACGGGUGAGUAACACGUGGGCAAUCUGCCCUGCACUCUGGGACAAGCCCUGGAAACGGGGUCUAAUACCGGAUACUGACCCUCACGGGCAUCUGUGAGGUUCGAAAGCUCCGGCGGUGCAGGAUGAGCCCGCGGCCUAUCAGCUUGUUGGUGAGGUAAUGGCUCACCAAGGCGACGACGGGUAGCCGGCCUGAGAGGGCGACCGGCCACACUGGGACUGAGACACGGCCCAGACUCCUACGGGAGGCAGCAGUGGGGAAUAUUGCACAAUGGGCGAAAGCCUGAUGCAGCGACGCCGCGUGAGGGAUGACGGCCUUCGGGUUGUAAACCUCUUUCAGCAGGGAAGAAGCGAAAGUGACGGUACCUGCAGAAGAAGCGCCGGCUAACUACGUGCCAGCAGCG